rnacentral:lncRNA from 1 species
GGCAGAGAUGGUGGAUUUCUUUAUUCUCUUCUUUAUAAAAGCGACCAUUGUCCUGAGCAUCAUGCAUCUCAGUGGGAUAAAGGACAUCUCUAAGUUUGCCAUGCACUAUAUAAUAGAAGAGAUUGAUGAAGACACAUCAAUGGAAGACCUGCAGAAAAUGAUGAUUGUGGCACUUAUAUACAGGUUGUUAGUUUGUUUCUAUGAGAUAAUUUGCAUUUGGGGAGCAGGGGGAGCUACCCCAGGGAAGUUCCUGCUAGGGCUUCGAGUUGUGACAUGUGACACAUCAGUACUCAUUGCUCCAAGUCGGGUUUUAGUGAUUCCUUCCUCAAAUGUUAGCAUCACAACGUCCACCAUUCGAGCUUUGAUCAAGAAUUUUUCUAUUGCUUCUUUUUUCCCUGCUUUCAUCACAUUGCUGUUUUUUCAGCAUAAUCGAACAGCCUAUGACAUUGUAGCAGGAACCAUUGUGGUAAAAAGAAAUGGGGUCAGAUGAUGCCCCAAAACCCUGAAUUCCACUCUUAGGAAUAAUGACAAGACUAAAUUAUGUAUCAAGGCCAACAUUAUCUCUGCGUUACAUUAGCUGAUGAUUUAAAAAUUAAAGCAGUCACUCUGGUGUGGUGCAGGGGACUGUUCUGAAAGUGUUGACUGUACUUAAAUGUCAAGGAACUUUUCCGGAAGGAAAAACUAUUAAAUUCAAGUGUUAAAUAUUUAUAGGACAACAAAAGUUUCAUAAUCAAUAUAUAGGUAAAUACAUACUUUAACAUUUAAGAUAACCAAAAUUUGCUGGAAGCAUUUUCAGCUUUAAAUUCUCUAAAUCAAACUUUAAAUUUUGGCUUAUCCUAGCGUGAUUGAGAAAUAUCCAAUUGUGUUUUAUAAACACCUGCAGAACUCCCUCAACUCUUCUUACAGACCCUGCUGCUUAUGAGCAUUGAGAAAGAGCAUCAACUCAAUAACCCACUUACUCCCUGGGAGAAGAGGGAACGUGAGGAAGACCUAGGAGUCCCUCAUCCCACACUUCCAGGAUAGUCUAGUUUGGUGCAGUAGUGGCGGGAUAUUUCAGUUUCUUACUGCUUAUGUAUUUGGAGGCAAGAUUUUCAUGAUGAUGAAAAUGUACUGAGUCAUAUAUCAUUGAUAUUUUAAAAAGGUAAGUUAGUGAUUGCCUUCUGGGGGGGAGGGGUUCAUUGUAAAUUCACAUACCCUAAAAUCCAACCAUAAAUACGUGGGAGGAAUAUCCAUCGAACAUUCCCAGUGUGUGUUCUCCAGCGUUCUGAAUGUACCUGUAGAUUCUCUAUGUACAGCAAAUCCCUAAUGCACUGCUAUGUUCUCUACAGUGCCAUAACUGUAAAACAUCAGGUGUUAGAGUGUAUUUUGUGACUAACUUAAAUACUACCAGGUUCCCAUUAUGAACUGUUGUUUCAUCAUCUGUGGACUUUAGCUUCUUUGAGCUCAUCUUGGUUGUAGUAUCAUUGUACUUUGCUCUCUGUUGGAGAAACAAUUGGGUUUAUGUCUGUGUGCUUUUGUUAUGUCACAGUCAGCUAGCUGUACCAAAUGUUAGUUUAAAACUUUACUUCUUACUCAUUGUUGCAUCUGAUUUUCCCAAAAAACACUAAAUUGUAUUGCACAAGAGAGCAGUCUUUGUUCCUGGGUUUUAAACAGCAAGAGCAUGCCAUGUGUUGUUAUAUCAAUCUUAAGUGAGCUUUUUUUUUUUGACAUUUAAAACUGUGAAAAUGCAUUUAAUGUCUAGAUAACUUUUAAAUAUCUCCUAAUAGCUCAUUGUUCAUCAACCAUGGUUUCUUCUGGUAAAUAAUUUUAUUUAAAUAAAACUUCACAGGAAGCCUACUAUUUGUCAAGAGCAGUACAUAGAGCAUGUACUUGUGGCUCUGGCAAGACUUUAAAAAGCUCUUCUUACUCCACACUACAAAUCAGGAAGCUGCUGCGAACGCCUGCCACUGAACCUGCACUGACACAAUUCAAGUUGAAAUGCGCUUCACCCACACAGCUCUGGAGUACUGAUUAUUGUUUCUACUCCAAUUAUUGUAGUUUUCACUGAGGAUAUUUUUAUUUAUACAGUAAAAUAAGUAGUUAAAUUUGUUAUAAAUACUGCAGUUUGCUAGACAAGUUCUUUAGAUCCAGCUGUGGAUUCAAGCUGUGCCAUAUAGGAUGUAAUAAAGUAUUGCUUUGCCUCCACAAUAGCACCUCAAUCUGGUGUAAGGAGAAAGGGAAUCUGGCACUUUUUUCCUCAUAGGGUUAUGUAAUGGAGCAUGUGAAUGAAGAAUUUACAGAAAUACUAAUUUCCUGUGUCAAAGUGUAAUUCUCAUGCUGAAGCUGUAUCCUAAAAGGGCAAAAUGAAGUUGAGAAAUGAAGACAUUCUUCAUGAGCAUGCCCUAACCCGAAACAUCAGGACUGGAGUCUUGCUGCCGCAUUGCCAUUUAGUUUAAAUAGCUGGCACGUGAUUAAGGCACUGAGUCUCAGUACUCACCGCUGAGUGUGUUCUGAAGUAGGAUAUUCUACACUCUGGGUAACAGCACGAUGAGCAGCCUUACUGAGUAUUCUUCGUGACCGUAACAAACACAUGCCCCUUCAGUGUUCACUGCUUGCUCCUGCCUACAAAGCACGUACUCCAUUGCCAUGCCUGACCAGUGACUGUUUCACUGUAGUACACGUCUGUUUCUGGCAAGGAGGAGAAAGGAGUUGAAAUUUUGCAUUUGCAAUUUGGGUUUCUGAAGGAAGAUGGGGCAUUAAACUUUCAUUAUCUCUUUGAGGACAAUGCCUAGAUUAACAGUAUUCCUAAACUCUCGACAGGUACUGGUUCAGCUCCUUGUCAUCCUCCAUUUGCAUAACCAAAGACCAAAGUCCUGACUCGUGCCUGGCUGGUAUGCGUAGGUUUCCUUGUAGUUCACUAUAGUAGGACUUGCCCUGCAAACAGUAUCUAAUGGCUCACGUAUAAUAAACAAAACAUUCUAUUUUUAAUAUUUGUAUGUCACCAGUUUGUACUUUAUGUCUCAAUAAAUACUUAAUCAGUGUCAAG